UACGCAUGGCAUGUACAUAAAAAUAUAGGCGACAUAUAAAGUUAUAAACAGAAUUAUGACGCGAAUUACAGUUUAUCAGGCUAAGAUUCUCUGUCGAGUCCGACAUAUCGCGGCGAUGUAUUCAAAGGCACGGUUCAUAUCUAAUAAGAUAUUCCAACGGUCAUGCAUAUAUAAUUAUUCAUUCCGUACGGCAAGGCGUAACGUGCCGCGAUACAGAACGCCGAGGCGUUCCGUUCGAACUUGCCGCGCGCGAACGCGAGCCAAUAGGUGCGUACGUACGUCGGCGGGACGGCCAUGCUGCUCUCUCGUGCGUUCUCUCGAGGCUCCGGCGAUGUUUGUGCGUGCCUGGCACGACCGUGGUCCCACUGUCGCGCUCGCCCUCUCCGUCGUCGCGUGAGAGAAGGCUCGUGGACAUCGGCAGCGUACGGUGCACCACCGUACGACGAGCGUUUUCCGUCGACAAUACGAGCGUGACCGUCCGAUCCCCGCGCGUUGACAUGUCAAGUCAAAUAUGUCUAAAGUGGAACAGUUUUCUCAGCAAUAUCGCGACCAGUUUCGAGAGUCUGUGGGAGGAAGAGGGCCUGGUGGACGUGACUCUCGCGAGUGACGGACAGUGCCUCACGGCGCACAAGGUGAUACUCUCGGCCAGCAGUCCCUUCUUCAAGAAGGUCUUCCAGUCAAACCCAUGUCAACAUCCAGUCAUAAUACUCCAGGAUGUACAUUUUAGCGAAUUGGAGGCACUAUUAAUAUUUAUAUAUAAAGGAGAGGUAAAUAUCGAGCAGAAGAAUUUACCGGCGCUAUUAAAGGCAGCAGAGACGUUACAAAUUCGGGGCUUGUCUGGCGGGGACAUCUUUGCGAAGGAGUCCUACAAACGGCUGGCUGAGUUAGAACAGGCUGUGGCCGAAGAUGCGCCGGUGAGCAAGGAAGAGAUACCUAAAAAGAAACAGAAAGUUAACAAGCAACAGAACAAUUCUAUCUUGGAAAAAGCACUGACACCUAGACUAUCACAUUCGGAAAAUACCAACGAGUCUGCUGGUAGCGAUCAAAGUGGGAAGGAUGGAGAGUACAUGCUGCCUGAAACAUUACCUAAUCCAGUAUAUCAUCGUUUGGAGAUGAAAAUAGAACCAUUGGAAAUGGUGGUGGAUGAUCUGCCGAAACGAUCCCCAUUAGAUAAGGAUCCAGCAGAGAGGCUAGACACAGGGCAAACAGAUGGGAAUCAAGGAUCAUCAAAGCCGAUCGUAACAGUAAUAGCCGAAGCUCGCCACACUUCUCCAGACCCACAAACGCACAAAAGAGAUUCUCUUGCAGUUGAACGGAGUUCGUUGUGGAAUAUUUCGAAAAUCCUGGAGGAUCCGUCACCUGACAUAUCGAAUUAUUCCCGUGCCGAACAAACGUUAGUACAAUCGGAGUCCUCGAAUUUUUUGGGACACAAUCCUGGAGUUUCACAACCCAGUUUUCCCGCAUUCGUCGAGUCCUAUAGUACAGAUUUAUCAGAAGAGACUCUAAAAGGUGGACCGGCAUAUCCACCGUUUCCUUGCCCCUUUUGCGACAGAGCAUACACUAGUUGGGGUUUUCGCAGAAGGCACAUAAAAGCUGUUCAUACUAUUUCUCCAUCCCUUAAUUGCAAAUGGUGUUUACAAGUUCUUCCUACGCACGCGGCUUGGAGACGACAUGUGAUAUCAGCACAUAAUCUAUCAGCCAGUGACGCACACAAUGGUCUUUUAAUUUUGGAAGAAGCACAUAUGGUCCUGCAAAUAGCUCGUCCUACCAGACUGGAUACAUUGGUUAACAUUAUUAAACAAAGUUCCCAACAAAACUGUGGUCAUGAUAGCACUCAUUCAGAUAAAGAUUAGAUUCCACGCGCGAUAUUUUAGUCUGGAGUUGCGAAGGUUACGGUCGUCUUGUGGUCGACAAAUGCGCAGCCGCUAUUUUUGACGACAAGUUCGCGCGCUCGUCGUAUCUUCGAACUAUCGCGUCCCGGAUUUUUCGUGUGUACAAGUGACUCUUCCCUGUAAAAAAGGAAAGGGCACAUCGAAGGAGCAUUAAGAAAUCGUGGCAUCCGAUUCGAACUCUGCUUUUCCUGUGCUUCUUACGACAUUUGGAGCUUGUCGCAUCAAAAUGACAUGGGUUAAUGGCGGAAUAACGAUAGAAAACUAAUACUGAUGGAUGUGUACGUCGAUGAUAUAAAGAAAUACCUCUUUACAUCUUAAAAAAAAAAUCACGAUUGAUAUCUCCUUGUGAUCAAGUCAUGUGAGGAUCGAGGAUGACUCUUCGAACGCUCUUGGAAUAUUUUAAGAGACGUCAAGAUCAGAUCAGUCGAGUGUUUUAGCAGCCUCCCCCCUUCUUCAGCCCACAAAGCUUCGGCGGGCGUUGCCGAAGAAGGAUGGGGCGAAGAAAGGAUCAGAAAAAGAGGCGUCGUUGGCCACGAAUCUGAUUCGUAUCCCUGUCUGUUUAUCGAUCGUACGUUUUAAUCGAAUUAUACAAAGCUUGUGCAAUGAGAUUUAAUUGAAUUCUUUUUAAAUCAAACAAGUUAAGGCGCCGUCAUUAGAAUUUCUCUCACAAUGAAAAUUAUUUUUCUCAAUUCGUGAGAUGAGGGAGAUAAGAGAUAACUAUAAGACAAUCGCGUUAAAUUUAUCAUUUUUGUGUCAAUAAAUGUUUACACUUUUAAUAAAAUAAGAUAAACUACGGUAAAUUGCGAUUUUGCAAAUAGUCACGUAAAUGUAGGCGCCCGUUUUAAAAUAAUUAAACUAAUUCAUAAACUUAUCAUUUACUUUUCUUCAACAAUAAGUUACAAAAUGUUAUAUAAGAUGAACAUCUAGCCUAUUUAUCGCACAUAUAUUACGAUUCACGUAAAAGUAUUUUAAAUAUGUGACAGCAAAGUCACGCAAUAAAUAUUUUUCGUAUACGUUAAGAUAGUAAAGAAUCUGGGAUAGUAACCAAGCCAACCAAUAGCCAACCAAGAGUUAUUUCUUUUUAACAACUUAUUCUUAGAUGUUUUCCUAGCUUAUGCCUUAGCACAAUCCAUUUAAGAGUUAUUGUUUACAUUUCUUUUCUUUCGGUUCUUAAGGACACAGUUGAUAAGCUUCAGUUGAAAGCAUGCCGUGUCCAAUGAGAUUAUCAUUCGGUUUUAAAUACAAUCACGACAAAAACUUAGCAUUAAUUAAAAUAAAUAAGAAGAUAUUUCUUAUUCUUUCUUUUUUACUUUUUUUUCAGAAGUUUAAUUUGAACUUUUUAAAGGAUACGUAUAGUAAUAUUUCUAUGUAAUCUUCAUUUUUUGAUGCUUGUUCAUCCUCGAAGAUGCGAUUAAUUGGUUAAUUAAAUGAUAUAUUUCGCAUUGUGAAUCAAGCGUUACGCCUUGGAGUUCCUAUAAAAAAUUAAUCCGCUGUUUCCUUGACACGUAUCUACGGAUCUCCGCGAACCCGUGUAAAUCCCUAGCUGUGCACAGGUUGGGCAAGGAAAUCGAGUACGCGGGGCGAGAAAAGAGAGGAGUCACGUCGUUAGCCAAUUCAUUUAUUCCUGGUAGGUCGGCGCCCGUCUGGCAUAAUCCGUCGAUUUGUCGGCACGGCGUGUCCCGUGUAAUGUCGCUUCUUGCCGCUUGUAAUCGAGUCGGAGGAAAGGAGAGCGACUCGAGCGAGAGGACGGCGCGACACUGACUAUAUGUGAACGGUUGUAAGAAAAGCCACUCGAUCCGGGGAAUGUUCACAGUUCCGUCCUCCAUCUUCUCCUCCUCCUCCCCUUCCUCCUCCCUCUUCUCCUCCUGUUACUCCCGGCGCCCUCCAGGAUCUUCCUGACUCUGUCUCUCUGCCUUUGCACCUCUUCGUUCUGGGCUGGUCCCGGGCUUGUCGCCCUUUCUUUUCGCUUUGCACCGCGAUGCCGGUGCAAGUUUAUUGAUACGGCGGGGCGCUAAAUUAUUGAUGCUCGACUGCACGCCGCGAGACAACGAAGAAGGAAAGGAGGAGGAUGUAUCCUGUGAUUUCAGAAAAAAGUUUUCCACGUCACCGGUCUUCCCGCCGCUCCUUCUCGCUUACUUCUCGGCUCCUCCGUCUUCUUCUGCGUAUUAAACCAGCGAGGUAAACUCACGGUCUUUAAAAGGAAGGAAGAAUUGCGCGCGGGGGACAACGAAACGCAUGCUGUGAGAAAUUUUCGCGCGUUACGUACGAGGAACCAUCGCGAGGUGUGUGUUAAUAGGGAUGAGUUCCCAAUCUCUCUUUGAUCUUUUCUGACUCUGGCUCCUUUCUGAGAAAUUGAUGCUUGCGUUUCUCCGUUUGCGUUGCUUCAUGGAGAACCGAUUUGAAUAAUCGCUACUUCUUGAAAAGAGUUAUUAUUACUAUCAUUAGAUAAAUGCCGUUCUCGAUUCUCUGUAAGUCGUUUCCAGCGUCGCCAUUGCUAAAAGAGUAUUACCAUAGUGCUGAUUAUAUAUUUUUUUUUCAAGGAUGAUGGCAAUUGACGGCGGAGACCGUACUCCAUCCAUAUAGCAUUCCAGAAAUUGAAUCUAAUCGCACGGCUCGUGUUGAGUAACGCGAUUGAUUGGUAUAUAUCGGUUACACGCAAGGUAACGGCAAGGUGCAAUUGCCGCGGGGCAAUCGCCGAUCUGUUGCAACCUUCAUUUGCAUUUCCCACGUGAUCAAUUGACGCACAUGCAACGUAUAGGGAUCAAUAGGCCUCCCGACAUUCAUUUCUGCGUUUCUGCGAAAUCGUACAUUCUCCAAAAAGCCAGCUGUGGGAAAGUUGAUAUCUGUUCGGGGCCUGGUGGACCGUCGCCUGCCACAGCGGAAUGUUAGCACCGCGAAUCCCUGGGAAGAAACGGCAACGGUAGUAGAGUGGCAGAAGAAAAAAGAGGGUGGGAAGGGGAAGGGGUGAGGGACAGGGGACCGAAAACGAGCGUCGUCGGAUCCGACCGGACUCGGGACCAGUUGAAAAGGGUUCGGCACUCCUCCCGCUGGAAAGCACCGCUGGUGAACCGCUGACAAGUGGUUCGCUCGCUUCUCUCCGUGCAAGAACCGCGCACUUGCAGACUUACGUAGCAUCGUUCGAUCGUUUAUUCAUUUCCCCUUCUUUUCUUUGGCGACCAAUUAUUAUCAUCGUGGAAGAUACCUAGAGAGAGCUUUCGCUUAGUUUCAUAAUAGAUAUCUUAGAUAUGGAUGUGAAAUCGAGUUCGAGUGACGUGGCGAUUCUCCGAAGUAUCGCAUUGUGCGAAGUUAGCGCGAGUUAUUCCCUCUGUUUUAUUCUUCACAGAUCUCCUUUUACUAAAAUUCUUCCUGUAUUUAAUUUAAACUUUGUUUCUCGGUUUCGAUAUCGGCAAGUUGUCGCAAAGAAGCAAUCGCCGCGCACGUAUGGAUCGAGUCUUUUCGCAUUCGAACUACUCGCGGCGCAGAAAUGCGUAUCGAUCUCGAAGGCGGGGACGCCUUACGCGGUCCUUUCUUGCUUUGCGCCUUGUCCCUUUUAUAGACAUCAUGCGACCGAUGCUUUCGGCAGAUAAAGUGUCAACCUGUUCGUAGAUUCUGAACCUGAGGUGUCGCAGUUCUCGCGUUCUCGUCUCGAAAAAUCGUGGCGACUGUACGCUAUUUCCGUCAACGAGCUAAUUGAUACCGAGAAACCCAGUCGCUUGGUCUUCACUUCGUCGAAGCUCAUGUAACAUUUAAUCUCUCGGUGUAUUUUUUGGGUUCGUGUGAGCCGCGUGAGGCUUUGUCUCGAUCUUUCUUCGGUUUUUUCUCCUUUACCCCGUUCUUUCGUUUUAACAAUGUCGAUACCAGAAAUGCGAAAACGAUUUUUUAAAUUUUUUGCUUUGCUUUAAAAUAACAUCUGUUAUGAAAUAUCCGUCAAUUGAAAAUGAAUACUUUGUAUAUCGUUACAUAAAAGUUGUAUAGAUAAUUUUCUUUUUGUAUAACAAAUUUUAUUAUUUUUGUAGCAAAAUACGGCAACUUUACUUCAAUUGUGCGACUAUUGUUACGAGCAUUGUUUGAUAUUUGUAUCAGAAAA